UAGGGAAACUUCGGCAAUGGACGAAAGUCUGACCGAGCAACGCCGCGUGAGUGAAGAAGGUUUUCGGAUCGUAAAACUCUGUUGUUAGAGAAGAACAAGGACGUUAGUAACUGAACGUCCCCUGACGGUAUCAAACCAGAAAGCCACGGCUAACUACGUGCCAGCAGCCGCGGUAAUACGUAGGUGGCAAGCGUUGUCCGGAUUUAUUGGGCGUAAAGCGAGCGCAGGCGGUUUCUUAAGUCUGAUGUGAAAGCCCCCGGCUCAACCGGGGAGGGUCAUUGGAAACUGGGAGACUUGAGUGCAGAAGAGGAGAGUGGAAUUCCAUGUGUAGCGGUGAAAUGCGUAGAUAUAUGGAGGAACACCAGUGGCGAAGGCGGCUCUCUGGUCUGUAACUGACGCUGAGGCUCGAAAGCGUGGGGAGCAAACAGG
rnacentral:rRNA from 1 species